AUACCAGCGUGUAGGUUGCUGCGCCGCGUUGUCCUUUUACGCCGGCUCAAUCCUACCGCGGUGCUCUUUACCGAGUGUCGAGGUAGGCCGACACUGUUUACUUUGAACAAAUUAGAGUGCUUAAAGCAGGCUCUUAAAUCAGCCUGAAUAGUGGUGCAUGGAAUAAUGGAAAAGGACCUUGGUUCUAUUUUGUUGGUUUCCGGAAUCCAAGGUAAUGAUCAAUAAGGACAGGCGGGGGCAUUCGUAUUGCGACGUUAGAGGUGAAAUUCUUGGAUCGUCGCAAGACGCACUAGAGCGAAAGCAUUUGCCAAGUAUGUCUUAAUUGAUCAAGAACGAAAGUUAGAGGCUCGAAGGCGAUCAGAUACCGCCCUAGUUCUAACCAUAAACGAUGCCAGCCAGCGAUCCGCCGACGUUCCUCCGAUGACUCGGCGGGGAGCUUUCCCCGGGAAACCAAAAGCUUUUGGGUUCCGGGGGAAGUAUGGUUGCAAAGCUGAAACUUAAAGGAAUUGACGGAAGGGCACCACCAGGAGUGGAGCCUGCGGCUUAAUUUGACUCAACACGGGAAACCUCACCAGGCCCGGACAUUGGAAGGAUUGACAGAUCGAUAGCUCUUUCUCGAUUCAGUGGGUAGUGGUGCAUGGCCGUUCUUAGUUGGUGGACUGAUUUGUCUGGUUUAUUCCGAUAACGAACGAGACUCUAACCUAUUAA
rnacentral:rRNA from 1 species